CUGAAGUCAGAUGCUUACCCAACCAAGCCACCCAGAAUCUUCUGUGAUAUCCUAACACUAUUUAUAGGAGAUCUCAACACAGCAGCAGGCAGCUGCUCACAGAAGCCGUGUGUGUGUGUGUAUGU